GUGUUGUGUGAAAGGAGAAAAAGUUAGCACUCCACUUGAAAAA
ensembl:snRNA